rnacentral:rRNA from 1 species
GACGAACGCUGGCGGCGUGCUUAACACAUGCAAGUCGAGCGGUAAGGCCCUUUCGGGGGUACACGAGCGGCGAACGGGUGAGUAACACGUGGGUGACCUGCCCUUAGCUCCGGGAUAAGCCUGGGAAACUGGGUCUAAUACCGGAUAUGACUCCAUGACGCAUGUUGUGGGGUGGAAAGCCUUGUGCGGCUGGGGAUGGGCCCGCGGCCUAUCAGCUUGUCGGUGGGUGAUGGCCUACCAAGGCGA